GUUGUGGCUCAUUGGUAGAGUGAUCGCCUAGCAUGCACAAGGCACUGGGUUCGAUCCUCAGCACUACA
rnacentral:tRNA from 1 species